rnacentral:rRNA from 1 species
CCUACGGGAGGCAGCAGUGGGGAAUUUUGGACAAUGGGCGAAAGCCUGAUCCAGCAAUGCCGCGUGCANGAUGAAGGCCUUCGGGUUGUAAAUUGCUUUUGUACGGAACGAAAAAGCUUCUCCUAAUACGAGAGGCCCAUGACGGUACCGUAAGAAUAAGCACCGGCUAACUACGUGCCAGCAGCCGCGGUAAU